rnacentral:misc_RNA from 1 species
GGGGUUUGAGAUUGGUAGUUUGGUUGGAAGAUGAAGUUCUGCUGCGGAGUGUAGAGAAAAGAUGGUGGCGGAGCUCAGGUUGGGAGAGGGAUUCAGAGAGGAAUGCGGUGGUCUGAUGGAGAAUUUGGNNNNNNNNGACGUUAGUUGUCAUGGCGGCGGCGGUUGUUUUAGUGGAGCAGGAGGAGGAGGAGGAUUUGAGUUUGGGUUUAUGGGGUGGAGCUGUGGAGGAAAGAAGUGGAGC